UACGGGGGGGGGCAAGCGUUGUUCGGAAUUACUGGGCGUAAAGGGCUCGUAGGCGGCCAACUAAGUCAGACGUGAAAUCCCUCGGCUUAACCGGGGAACUGCGUCUGAUACUGGAUGGCUUGAGUUUGGGAGAGGGACGCGGAAUUCCAGGUGUAGCGGUGAAAUGCGUAGAUAUCUGGAGGAACACCGGUGGCGAAGGCGGCGUCCUGGACCAACACUGACACUGAGGAGCGAAAGCCAGGGGAGCAAACGGGG
rnacentral:rRNA from 1 species